UGCAGUCGACGGCAGCACGGGGGCACCCUGGUGGCGAGUGGCGAACGGGUUAGUAAUGCAUCGGAACGUAUCCUUAAGUGGGGGAUAACGCAUCGAAAGAUGCGCUAAUACCGCAUAAUCUCUGAGGAGAAAAGCAGGGGAUCGCAAGACCUUGCGCUUUUGGAGCGGCCGAUGUCUGAUUAGUUAGUUGGUGAGGUAAAGGCUUACCAAGGCUUCGAUCAGUAGCUGGUCUGAGAGGACGACCAGCCACACUGGGACUGAGACACGGCCCAGACUCCUACGGGAGGCAGCAGUGGGGAAUUUUGGACAAUGGGGGCAACCCUGAUCCAGCCAUGCCGCGUGAGUGAAGAAGGCCUUCGGGUUGUAAAGCUCUUUCAGCCGGAACGAAACGGUCACGGUUAAUAACUGUGAUCACUGACGGUACCGGAAGAAGAAGCACCGGCUAACUACGUGCCAGCAGCCGCGGUAAUACGUAGGGUGCGAGCGUUAAUCGGAAUUACUGGGCGUAAAGCGUGCGCAGGCGGUUUUGUAGUCAGAUGUGAAAUCCCCGGGCUUAACCUGGGAACUGCGUUUGAAACUACAAGGCUAGAGU
rnacentral:rRNA from 1 species